AAAAUUAAAAUACAUAAUCUGGCUGUGACAUCUGUCAUCUCAUUGGAUAUUGGGUAGUUAAUUCAACUCAUCUAGCUGGCUAGGUGGGUGUCCCCUUAGUCCCUUAAUGCUCUAUGUGCCUCCCUCCAGAACCUUGGUGGAAUACGAAAACCUUCUCCUGACGAAGAAGGAUCAGUUUUAUGUCGAAAUUAUAGGAGUAAUUAUGCUCCCCUGCUCGAACUUCCAAACAAGCCCUCAAACUGGCAAGUUACAUACAUAAAAAUUAAGCAAAAGUAUAUAUUUACAUGUAACGUUAAGUCUCUCUUU
rfam:Erinaceus europaeus unplaced genomic scaffold scaffold00346, whole genome shotgun sequence